AGUCAGAGGCGAUGAAGGACGUGCUAAUCUGCGAUAAGCGUCGGUAAGGUGAUAUGAACCGUUAUAACCGGCGAUUUCCGAAUGGGGAAACCCAGUGUGUUUCGACACACUAUCAUUAACUGAAUCCAUAGGUUAAUGAGGCGAACCGGGGGAACUGAAACAUCUAAGUACCCCGAGGAAAAGAAAUCAACCGAGAUUCCCCCAGUAGCGGCGAGCGAACGGGGAGCAGCCCAGAGCCUGAAUCAGUGUGUGUGUUAGUGGAAGCGUCUGGAAAGGCGCGCGAUACAGGGUGACAGCCCCGUACACAAAAAUGCACAUGCUGUGAGCUCGAUGAGUAGGGCGGGACACGUGGUAUCCUGUCUGAAUAUGGGGGGACCAUCCUCCAAGGCUAAAUACUCCUGACUGACCGAUAGUGAACCAGUACCGUGAGGGAAAGGCGAAAAGAACCCCGGCGAGGGGAGUGAAAAAGAACCUGAAACCGUGUACGUACAAGCAGUGGGAGCACGCUUAGGCGUGUGACUGCGUACCUUUUGUAUAAUGGGUCAGCGACUUAUAUUCUGUAGCAAGGUUAACCGAAUAGGGGAGCCGAAGGGAAACCGAGUCUUAACUGGGCGUUAAGUUGCAGGGUAUAGACCCGAAACCCGGUGAUCUAGCCAUGGGCAGGUUGAAGGUUGGGUAACACUAACUGGAGGACCGAACCGACUAAUGUUGAAAAAUUAGCGGAUGACUUGUGGCUGGGGGUGAAAGGCCAAUCAAACCGGGAGAUAGCUGGUUCUCCCCGAAAGCUAUUUAGGUAGCGCCUCGUGAAUUCAUCUCCGGGGGUAGAGCACUGUUUCGGCAAGGGGGUCAUCCCGACUUACCAACCCGAUGCAAACUGCGAAUACCGGAGAAUGUUAUCACGGGAGACACACGGCGGGUGCUAACGUCCGUCGUGAAGAGGGAAACAACCCAGACCGCCAGCUAAGGUCCCAAAGUCAUGGUUAAGUGGGAAACGAUGUGGGAAGGCCCAGACAGCCAGGAUGUUGGCUUAGAAGCAGCCAUCAUUUAAAGAAAGCGUAAUAGCUCACUGGUCGAGUCGGCCUGCGCGGAAGAUGUAACGGGGCUAAACCAUGCACCGAAGCUGCGGCAGCGACACUAUGUGUUGUUGGGUAGGGGAGCGUUCUGUAAGCCUGUGAAGGUGUACUGUGAGGUAUGCUGGAGGUAUCAGAAGUGCGAAUGCUGACAUAAGUAACGAUAAAGCGGGUGAAAAGCCCGCUCGCCGGAAGACCAAGGGUUCCUGUCCAACGUUAAUCGGGGCAGGGUGAGUCGACCCCUAAGGCGAGGCCGAAAGGCGUAGUCGAUGGGAAACAGGUUAAUAUUCCUGUACUUGGUGUUACUGCGAAGGGGGGACGGAGAAGGCUAUGUUGGCCGGGCGACGGUUGUCCCGGUUUAAGCGUGUAGGCUGGUUUUCCAGGCAAAUCCGGAAAAUCAAGGCUGAGGCGUGAUGACGAGGCACUACGGUGCUGAAGCAACAAAUGCCCUGCUUCCAGGAAAAGCCUCUAAGCAUCAGGUAACAUCAAAUCGUACCCCAAACCGACACAGGUGGUCAGGUAGAGAAUACCAAGGCGCUUGAGAGAACUCGGGUGAAGGAACUAGGCAAAAUGGUGCCGUAACUUCGGGAGAAGGCACGCUGAUAUGUAGGUGAAGUCCCUCGCGGAUGGAGCUGAAAUCAGUCGAAGAUACCAGCUGGCUGCAACUGUUUAUUAAAAACACAGCACUGUGCAAACACGAAAGUGGACGUAUACGGUGUGACGCCUGCCCGGUGCCGGAAGGUUAAUUGAUGGGGUCAGCGCAAGCGAAGCUCUUGAUCGAAGCCCCGGUAAACGGCGGCCGUAACUAUAACGGUCCUAAGGUAGCGAAAUUCCUUGUCGGGUAAGUUCCGACCUGCACGAAUGGCGUAAUGAUGG
rnacentral:rRNA from 1 species